AACGAACGCUGGCGGCAUGCCUAACACAUGCAAGUCGAACGCGUGUAGCAAUACACGAGUGGCGGACGGGUGAGUAACGCGUGGGAACCUGCCCAAUGGUAGGGAAUAACUGCGGGAAACUGCAGCUAAUACCCUAUGCUCCCUACGGGGGAAAGAUUUAUCGCCAUUGGAGGGGCCCGCGUCGGAUUAGCUAGUUGGCGGGUAACGGCCACCAAGGCUCCGACGGGUAGCUGGUCUGAGAGGACGAUCAGCCACACUGGCACUGCGACACGGGCCAGACUCCUACGGGAGGCAGCAGUGAGGAAUAUUGCGCAAUGGGCGAAAGCCUGACGCAGCGACGCCGCGUGGGGGAUGAAGGUCUUCGGAUUGUAAACCCUUUCGGGAGGGAAGAUGGAACGAGCAAUCGUUCGGACGGUACCUCCAGAAGCAGCCACGGCUAACUUCGUGCCAGCA
rnacentral:rRNA from 1 species